GGAUUGCCUUAGUAACGGCGAGUGAAGCGGCAACAGCUCAAAUUUGAAAUCUGGUCCCCUUUGGGGGCCCGAGUUGUAAUUUGAAGAGGAUGCUUUUGGCGAGGCGCCGUCCGAGUUCCCUGGAACGGGACGCCGCAGAGGGUGAGAGCCCCGUACGGUCGGACGCCGAGCCUCUGUAAAGCUCCUUCGACGAGUCGAGUAGUUUGGGAAUGCUGCUCAAAAUGGGAGGUAAACCCCUUCUAAAGCUAAAUACUGGCCAGAGACCGAUAGCGCACAAGUAGAGUGAUCGAAAGAUGAAAAGCACUUUGAAAAGAGAGUUAAAAAGCACGUGAAAUUGUUAAAAGGGAAGCGCUUGCGACCAGACUUGCGCCCGUCGGAUCAACCGUCGCUUGCGGCGGCGCACUCCGGCGGGCUCAGGCCAGCAUCAGUUCGUCCGGGGGGAGAAAGGCGGCGGGAAUGUGGCUCUUCGGAGUGUUAUAGCCCGCCGUGUAAUACCCUCGGGUGGACUGAGGACCGCGCGUAUGCAAGGAUGCUGGCGUAAUGGUCGUCAGCGACCCGUCUUGAAACACGGACCAAGGAGUCGUCCUAAUAUGCGAGUGUACGGGUGUCAAACCCCUGCGCGUAAUGAAAGUGAACGGAGGUGAGAGCUUCGGCGCAUCAUCGACCGAUCCUGAUGUUCUCGGAUGGAUUUGAGUAAGAGCAUAUUGGGCCGGACCCGAAAGAAGGUGAACUAUGCCUGUGUAGGGUAAAGCCAGAGGAAACUCUGGUGGAGGCUCGCAGCGGUUCUGACGUGCAAAUCGAUCGUCAAACAUGGGCAUGGGGGCGAAAGACUAAUCGAACCUUCUAGUAGCUGGUUUCCGCCGAAGUUUCCCUCAGGAUAGCAGUGUUGAAUUUCUCAGUUUUAUGAGGUAAAGCGAAUGAUUAGGGACUCGGGGGCGCUUUUUAGCCUUCAUCCAUUCUCAAACUUUAAAUAUGUAAGAAGCCCUUGUUACUUCAUUGAACGUGGGCCUUCGAAUGUAUCAACACUAGUGGGCCAUUUUUGGUAAGCAGAACUGGCGAUGCGGGAUGAACCGAUCGCGGGGAUAAGGUGCCGGAGUGGACGCUCAUCAGACACCACAAAA
rnacentral:rRNA from 1 species